CUAGCAAGAAGUCUUGCCUCUUACUUCAAGAGCCCAUUGUGUGAUCCUCUGACAUAUCUCACAGUCUCUUUUUUAACCAUGCCUCUUUUUCUGUCACUCUCUUCCCUCCAGUUCUCACUCACUAGUCAAUUCUGACCAUGCCAAAAGAACUGUUGCACAACCAAAUGAGAGGGAAAUUAUAUGAGGAAAUAAGGGAAUAAGGCUUCUCCUCAUCCUGGGGCUAACAUAUAUCUCCUAUAUCACUCUCCUGCUGCCUUCUGGCCAUGCUGUAUCACAUAACAAAGAAGAAAGCGUCUACCCGAAGUACAGUAUACAUUUUUUCUUUCUUCUCUUCAUAUAUAUUUUCCCUCCCAGCUGAUGAGCUCACUCAACUCAAUUUUGACACACUAAAUUGGAAUCUAAUAGUAAUAUUCUAAACUUAUGUAAUGUUAUAAUAUACUGCUUAUAACAAAUUCAUAGGACUUGUAUCUAAUUUGACAGACAUGCAAUCUUAACUUAAAAUUAAACAUAAAUUAGUGGAAAUUAAUGGCACUAUAUCAACUUUACAAGCUACAUAAUAUCCAUAUAUGCAUAUCUGGAAGUCUAAGUAGUCACAACAGUAUACUUAAAAAUACUGUGGAAAAAUGAAGAACGAUUCUUUUACCUUGCCACAGUGAAGUUGUUUGGAGGCAGAAGUCGAGCUAGCUGGAUAAAGAUAUGAUUAAGAGAAGCACAGAAUCCACACCAUUGCGCAUAAUAGAGCAGCAAGACAUCCUGGGGGGGGGGGGGGGAGAU